rnacentral:rRNA from 1 species
GACGAACGCUGGCGGCGUGCUUAACACAUGCAAGUCGAACGGAAAGGCCCUGCUUUUGUGGGGUGCUCGAGUGGCGAACGGGUGAGUAACACGUGAGUAACCUGCCCUUGACUUUGGGAUAACUUCAGGAAACUGGGGCUAAUACCGGAUAGGAGCUCCUGCUGCAUGGUGGGGGUUGGAAAGUUUCGGCGGUUGGGGAUGGCCUCGCGGCUUAUCAGCGUGUUGGUGGGGUAGUGGCUUACCAAGGCUUUGACGGGUAGCCGGCCUGAGAUGGUGACCGGCCACAUUGGGACUGAGAUACGGCCCAGACUCCUACGGGAGGCAGCAGUGGGGAAUAUUGCACAAUGGGCGGAAGCCUGAUGCAGCAACGCCGCGUGCGGGAUGAAGGCCUUCGGGUUGUAAACCGCUUUCGCCUGUGACGAAGCGUGAGUGACGGUAAUGGGUAAAGAAGCACCGGCUAACUACGUG